UUAAUUGAAGAGUUUGAUCAUGGCUCAGAUUGAACGCUGGCGGCAGGCUUAACACAUGCAAGUCGAGCGGUAGCACAGGGGAGCUUGCUCCCUGGGUGACGAGCGGCGGACGGGUGAGUAAUGUCUGGGAAACUGCCUGAUGGAGGGGGAUAACUACUGGAAACGGUAGCUAAUACCGCAUAACGUCGCAAGACCAAAGAGGGGGACCUUCGGGC
rnacentral:rRNA from 1 species